GAUGAACGCUGGCGGCGUGCCUAAUACAUGCAAGUCGAGCGAACGGACGAGAAGCUUGCUUCUCUGAUGUUAGCGGCGGACGGGUGAGUAACACGUGGAUAACCUACCUAUAAGACUGGGAUAACUUCGGGAAACCGGAGCUAAUACCGGAUAAUAUUUUGAACCGCAUGGUUCAAAAGUGAAAGACGGUCUUGCUGUCACUUAUAGAUGGAUCCGCGCUGCAUUAGCUAGUUGGUAAGGUAACGGCUUACCAAGGCAACGAUGCAUAGCCGACCUGAGAGGGUGACGGCCCACACUGGAACUGAGAACCGGCCCAGACCCCUACGGGGGGCAGAAGGAGGGAAUCUUCCGCAAUGGGCGAAAGCCGGACGGAGAAACGCCGGGGGAGGGAUGAAGGUCUUCGGAUCUAAAAACUUUUUUAUGAGGGAAGAACAAAUGUGUAAGUAACUGUGCACAUCUUGACGGUACCUAAUCAGAAAGCCACGGCUAACUACGUG
rnacentral:rRNA from 1 species